AACGUAGGAGACAAACGUUAUCCGGAGUUACUGGGCGUAAAGGGCGUGCAGGUGGUCUGUUAAGUCUGGCGUGAAAGCUCUCGGCUAAACCGGGAGAGGUCGUUGGAUACUGGCGGACUAGAGGACGGUAGAGGCGUGUGGAAUUCCGGGUGUAGUGGUGAAAUGCGUAGAGAUCCGGAGGAACACCAGUGGCGAAGGCGACACGCUGGGCCGUACCUGACACUAAUACGCGACAGCAUGGGGAGCGAACGGG
rnacentral:rRNA from 1 species